UACGGAGGGUGCAAGCGUUAUCCGGAUUUACUGGGUUUAAAGGGUGCGUAGGUGGAUAAUUAAGUCAGUGGUGAAAUCUUCAGGCUUAACCUGGAAACUGCCAUUGAUACUAUUUAUCUUGAAUACUUUGGAGGUAAGCGGAAUAUGUCAUGUAGCGGUGAAAUGCUUAGAUAUGACAUAGAACACCAAUUGCGAAGGCAGCUCACAAAACUGUAACUGACACUGAGGCUCGAAAGUGCGGGGAUCAAACAGG
rnacentral:rRNA from 1 species